GUUAAGACGAGUUGUCCAAUGGAUCUGCACACAUUUCCAUUGGAUCGACAAACAUGCUUUCUCAACUUUUCCUCAUGUAAGUUUAUGAAGAAGGUCCUGAAAGGAACUGGGACUUAUUUUGAUCAAAAGCAGCGUGCAUUCCGCCAUCUUGAAUAUGCAUUCGAUAUGCAUUCGUCACAAGUAGGGUCAAAAGCGAAAUUUUUAUCUUGCAAACCGCAUGUCAUUAUCAAUAUGAAACUCGUCGACUGAAAGUCUUUUUAGUACUCAAUUAACUCACAACAUGUUAAGAAACUUUUCGAAGAAUUUAGUCCCACAAUGAAGAAGUUUUAACAAGUUUACCCUGCUUGUGACGUUAUCAAAAACUCAGAUAAUUAUGUAUCGAUCAAUUCGAAACUUCACUAUCCCCCCCUGGGCAUACCCCGGGAAUUUGACUUCAAGUCUUCUUCAGGGAGUAGGGAAUUUGACCUUCUAGGUCUUCCAUGUGGUGGGGAAUUUGAUAACGGGGUGGGGAAUUUGAACCGGAAGUCUUAAAAUUUUGCCCGUUUUCGCGUGCUUCCUACAUGCACAGAAAAUACUUCGCAUUGGCGGCAAAUACAGUUUUCUCAGAUUUCGAGGGAAACGGCCUCAAUUUUGUGAAAAACUGGCUCAAAGAAACGGGCAUAGAAAACCUAAUUAUGUGCUUCAUUUGAAGGUAUGUACUACAAAAUUGUGUAAAACUGUUAAAUUUCCACAAGGUAUCCAAACUUUUUACGUGAAUUUCGCUAUCUUGUCGUAAAACAUUUCCGUAUAUUUUGUACUUUUUGUAUUUACUGUUUCAUGAUUUUCAUAUGAAGGUGGGGCAUUUGAACGCUUAAUUUCUUGUUACAGUGGGGCAUUUGCAGACAUUUUUGCACAGGGGGUGGAGAAUUUGAUCAGUCAAAUUUCAAAAAGUUCAAAUUCCCGGCGUCGGCCCGGGGGGGGGAUGGUGAAGUUUCGAAUUGAUCGAUACAUUACGGUCAAUUAUAAUACCAAGAUAGCGGACUGCAUUAUUGUUUUUGGUCAAAAUAUUUCGAAAACCAAACAAGGUACGAAAAAAUUGUAAAGGGUUUUCAUAUGGGUUUUCCCUGUGAAGUUCGCAAGUCUUGUAUAUAUUUGCAUUACGCGCGGGAAAAACAACCAUUUUUGAGGGGAUAGUGAUUAUUUUUACCGCGCGUAAUACAAAUAUAUACAAAAUUUGCGAACUUCACAGGGCUAUAUUUUCUUCAUUUUACAACAUUUACCAUCAAUCUUUGCAGUUUUACUCAUUCUAAGACGCUCUUUCUAUUCUUGCCUUCAUAAAAAUUCAGUCUAAAGCUGGAACCACCCAUGUGCAUUAACAUUAUUUUCUCAUUUCGAUAAAUACUGGUUGAACUUAUAAAUGCCGCGGACAGCGCUCAGUGAGACCCACCUUUUUGUUAACCUUAACAGUAUGUUAACAACACAGUACUUAACCAUCCAUGCAUAAUGUUUGCUUCUAUUUUUUCAGUUGCUUAUGGAAAAUCGUUGUUGAACUAUACCACUGGUGGUAAACAUGUGGUUGUCGGGCACACUAAAUUGCCUCAGUUUGAUUUGGUUGAAACGAGAGAAAUAGAGGGCGAAAGCAAAUGUAAUAUAUUGUGUUUUGAUGAACUUUUUGAGCAUGUAUACCUGUACGUAAAAUUGUGUUUUACAGUUCUGCACCGACUGCAUGUAACUGUAAAAUUGUGUUUUACAGUGUUGUAAUUUGUGUUUUGAUGAACUUUUUUGAGCAUGUAACUGUAAGUAGUUUCCAAAAAUAAGUAACUUUUUCAGCACUGACUAAGACAAUUAUUUUCCACAAACGUUAUCUAGCUCCAGGCAUCACAAUAAGUUUGACAUUUCAACGUCGUUUCGGCUACUACCUAAUGUCAGUCUACAUUCCUUCUGCAUCAAUUGUCUUGCUCUCCUGGCUAGUCUUCUUCAUGGAGCCGUCACACGUCGGAGAUCGUAUUGCACUUGAAAUCACUCUGACUCUUACAAUUGUGUUUUUACUGGACGGAAUCAACCAGUCCAUUAUCCAUGUCUCGUAUCCCAAGGCAUCGGAUGUGUUCGUCAUUGUGUCAUUUGGUUUUAUUCUCUUGGCGUUGUUGGAAACCAUGUUGGUUUUUCGUCUUUCUAUCUUCUUCGAAAACAAACAGAAAAGGCGCUGUUCUUGUGACGUCUCG
rnacentral:lncRNA from 1 species